rnacentral:lncRNA from 1 species
UUUGCAUAAACAGGUCUCUCUGUCCGAGAAGAAAUAAGCCGAAGGGGUAUUUUCCAGAAAGGACGGGAAAAACAGGGCUCAGUCAUACAUGAAUGAGCACAAGAGUCCAUGAACAGUACACCACAAAAAUAAAAUUCCAACUGGACAACAAAAAGAGAGGUUCUAGAGCCAUAACCAAAGCUAGCUAGACUCAAUGGAUUUCUCUUUGAGGAGGGACUGAUGGAUAUAUCAGGAUUUCAUUAACUGUACUGAACACCCAACAGAAAUGAUAGGCUAUCUCUUGUUUGUGGUAAAUGUUUUCAUGGGAACCAAAAGCAAUAUACACUCAGCAAAAUGCAUUGGAUUGCUUCAUAUUCCAAGCCUUGUUUGAAAAAAAAAAAAAAAAAAAAAACAACAUUAUUCACCAAGGUUGACUUAACCGCAACUCCCGUUGGCUUCUGUGGGAGUUUUGCCAUGGCUGAAGACCACAAAUAAGACCCAUGCUCCUGGUAAUAAAAAGGCUGCCCAGAUACCGUGGAAAAGUUGCUGAACCCCAGAGUGAAAGAAAACACUUUCCUGUCACUGGAGACGGCUCCAUGUUGACUUCCAUUAAAAUGUAACCUGAGCCCGGGAUGCAGAUGAUUAGAAUGUUCUUGGAAUAAUGGACAGAGGUUAUUUUACCCAAAGAGCAAUCAUGCUCUCCAGACAGGGGUGUGUGUAGAGGGAACAGGGGUGCUGGCUCC